rnacentral:rRNA from 1 species
AGGACGAACGCUGGCGGCGUGCUUAACACAUGCAAGUCGAACGAGAUCCAUUUGGUGGUAACACCAGAGAAGAUCUAGUGGCGAACGGGUGAGUAACACGUGAGCAACCUACCCCGAAGAUUGGGAUAACACCGGGAAACCGAUGCUAAUACCGAAUACCCCCACCGGGUCGACAUGGCCGUGAUGAGGAAAGUAGGGUUUCGUUGCUUCGGGUAGGAGGCGUCGCGGCCUAUCAGCUUGUUUGGCAGGGUAAGUGGCCGUACCAAGGCGAACGACGGGUAGGCUGGUCUGAGAGGACGACCAGCCACACUGGGACGUGAGACACGGCCCAGACUCCUACGGGAGGCAGC